rnacentral:misc_RNA from 1 species
GAUGAAGAACGCAGCGAAAUGCGAUAAGUAAUGUGAAUUGCAGAAUUCAGUGAAUCAUCGAAUCUUUGAACGCACAUUGCGCCCGCCAGCAUUCUGGCGGGCAUGCCUGUUCGAGCGUCAUUUCAACCCUCGAGCCCCCCCGGGGGCCUCGGUGUUGGGGGACGGCACACCAGCCGCCCCCGAAAUGCAGUGGCGACCCCGCCGCAGCCUCCCCUGCGUAGUAGCACACACCUCGCACCGGAGCGCGGAGGCGGUCACGCCGUAAAACGCCCAACUUUCUUAGAGUUGACCUCGGAUCAGGUAGGAAUACCCGCUGAACUUGAGCAUAUCAAUAAGCGGAGGA